rnacentral:rRNA from 1 species
GGCAGCCGCGGUAAUUCCAGCUCCAAUAGCGUAUAUUAAAGUUGUUGCAGUUAAAAAGCUCGUAGUUGAAUUUUGGGUCUGGCCGGGCGGUCCGCCCUCCGGGUGAGCACUGUUCCGACGCCGGGCCUAUCCUUCUGGUGAGUCGGCAUGUCCUUUACUGGGUGUGUCGGGGAACCAGGACCAUUACCCUGAAAAAUUGAGUGUUCAAAGCAGGCGUAUGCUCGGAUACAUUAGCAUGGAAUAAUGAAAUAGGACGCGUGGUGCUAUUUUGUUGGUUUCUAGAACCGCCGCAAUGAUUAAUAGGGAUAGUUGGGGGCAUUAGUAUUCAAUUGUCAGAGGUAGAAAUUCUUGGAUUUAUUGAAGACUAACUUCUGCGAAAGCAUUUGCCAAGGAUGUUUUC